UACUACAGAAAAUACUUUUGGGCCUGGUUCUGUGAACUUAGGACAGUUGCUUGUGAUCUUUGAAUCUGCUGGAAAUUAAAGAGACUCUGUAACUGAAGAUCAACAGUUAUCCCACAUGCUACACAGCAUUCUUUUAUGAGUAAACUUUCCUCUCAAUCACUGAUUGAUGUACAUGUUCUUGGCAAUUAUCCAAUCCCUCUUCUUUCUACUUAGUUGAGUAACUGUGUCUGCCUUUCAGUGAACAUUCCAGAAAGAAGUUAUUACACCAGCUGGUUAGAAAGAAAAGCACAGCAUAUUUCACUGCCUGUAAAAUUUCAACUUUGUGCCAACACAAUGUCCACAUACUCCAUCCUUGAGGUCAACUACAGAGAUACAAGUAGAUCUCCAGAACCUUACAGCCUGUUGCUUUGUUCACCAGGCACCGCUAAAAUAGGAAUUUGGCUACCACAGUCAGGCAAGCAGUCCCAAUAAAACUAUUUUAUUUUCUGA